UUGGAGGGCAAGUCUGGUGCCAGCAGCCGCGGUAAUUCCAGCUCCAAUAGCGUAUAUUAAAGUUGUUGCAGUUAAAAAGCUCGUAGUUGAAUUUCGGGGUUAGUAGGCUGGUCGUGCCACAGGUAUGCACUGGUCUUACUGAUUCCUCCUUCCUGAUGAACCGUAAUGCCAUUAAUUUGGUGUUGCGGGGAGUCUGGACUGUUACUUUGAAAAAAUUAGAGUGUUUAAAGCAAGCUAACGCUUGAAUACAUUAGCAUGGAAUAACGAAAUAGGACGUUCGAUCCUAUUUUGUUGGUUUCUAGGAUUGACGUAAUAAUUAAUAGGGAUAGUUGGGGGCAUUAGUAUUCAAUUGUCAGAGGUGAAAUUCUUGGAUUUAUUGAAGACUAACUACUGCGAAAGCAUUUGCCAAGGAUGUUUUCAUUAAUCCAGAACGAAAGUUAAGGGAUCGAAGACGAUCAGAUACCGUUGUAGUCUUAACCAUAAACUAUGCCGACUAGGGAUCGGAUGAUGUUAAUUUUUUAAUGACUCAUUCGGCGCCUUACGGGAAAC
rnacentral:rRNA from 1 species